rnacentral:rRNA from 1 species
GACGGGAGCCCGCACAAGCGUGGAGCGUGUGGUUUAAUUCGACAAUAAGCGAGGAACCUCACCAAGACUUGACAUCUAGCUGCACACUCUGAGAAAUCAGAGUUCCUUCGAGGGUGCUAGACAGGUGCUGCAUGGUUGUCGUCAGCUCGUGUCGUGAGAUGUUGGGUUAAGUCCCUUAACGAGCGCAACCCUUAUCCUAUGUUAAAUAUCCAUAGGAGACUGCCCCGGUUUAACGGGGAGGAAGGCGAGGAUGACGUCAAAUCAGCAUGGCUCUUACGUCUUGGGCAACACACGCGCUACAAUGGUCAGUACAAUGGGUCGCAAAGUCGCAAGGCGAAGCUAAUCCCAUCAAAACUGGCCUCAGUUCGGAUUGGGGUCUGCAACUCGACCCCAUGAAGUUGGAAUCGCUAGUAAACGCUGAUCAGCUACGCAGCGUUGAAUACGUUCUCGGGCUUU